rnacentral:rRNA from 1 species
ACACUGACGUCGCGACGCAUAUCAAUAAGCGGAGGAAAAGAAACUAACAAGGAUUCCCUUAGUAACGGCGAGUGAAGCGGGAAGAGCUCAAAUUUGAAAUCUUCAAGGUUCUACCUUGACGAAUUGUAGUUUAAAGAAGUGUUUUCUGUUAGAUGAGUAGCAAAAGUUCCUUGGAAUGGGACAUCAUAGAGGGUGAGAAUCCCGUAUUUGGUUAUUCAUUCUAGCUUUGUGAUACACUUUCAAAGAGUCGGAUUGUUUGGGAAUGCAGUCCAAAAUGGGUGGUAAAUUUCAUCUAAAGCUAAAUAUUGGCGAGAGACCGAUAGCGAACAAGUACCGUGAGGGAAAGAUGAAAAGAACUUUGAAAAGAGAGUUAAACAGUACGUGGAAAUUGUCAAAAGGGAAGCGUUUGACACCAGUGUUGUUUUCUCGAAAAUCAAUUACAAAUGGACUUGGAUUUUGUGUUGUAUUGACCUUAUCAGCUUUCUGCACUUUUUUCUAGUCUUUCUUAAUGCACUUUUCGUUUAACAAGUCAACAUCAAUUUCUUUUGUUGUAAAAGAGUAUUCGGAAGGUGGCUUUCUUUUCGGAGAAAGUGUUUAUAGCCCUAUACUUCUACAAUCGGAGAGAUUGAGGUCUGCAGCGUAGAUCCUUCGGGGUUAGAUACACUUGUGCUAAGUUGUAGCUUUUCAUAGACAACUUGUUGACUAUGUUUAGUCAUGCGGCUUACUCGCUUAUGCUAUUUUACCUACGCUUAGGAUGUUGAGUCGUAGAGCACGCAG